GCCGCGUGAGGGACGACGGCCUUCGGGUUGUAAACCUCUUUCAGCUCUGACGAAGCGAAAGUGACGGUAGGAGCAGAAGAAGCACCGGCCAACUACGUGCCAGCAGCCGCGGUAAUACGUAGGGUGCAAGCGUUGUCCGGAAUUAUUGGGCGUAAAGAGCUCGUAGGCGGUUUGUCGCGUCGGGAGUGAAAACCAGGUGCUUAACACCUGGCUUGCUUUCGAUACGGGCAGACUAGAGGUAUUCAGGGGAGAACGGAAUUCCUGGUGUAGCGGUGAAAUGCGCAGAUAUCAGGAGGAACACCGAUGGCGAAGGCAGAUCUCUGGGCCGUAACUGACGCUGAGGAGCGAAAGGGUGGGGAGCAAACAGGCUUAGAUACCCUGGUAGUCCACCCCGUAAACGUUGGGAACUAGUUGUGGGGUCCAUUCCACGGAUUCCGUGCCGCAGCUAACGCAUUAAGCGCCCCGCCUG
rnacentral:rRNA from 1 species